rnacentral:lncRNA from 1 species
GGUUAAUUGUCACACCCAAUGCCAACAGACAAGACUUCCAGAGGAUUCGCUUGGUUUUGUUUUGUGGCUUUUUUUUUUCUUUUUUUUUACAACUUUAAAUACGGAAUAUAAAUAAACUUUACAUUUAAAAAAUAAAAAGAAAGCCCCCAAAAAUAUAAUCACCAACUUUACAAACUGAAGGAAGUGGACCUGGGAGGGGGAAGAGAAAGUGCAGGGGGAGGUGGGGGGAGAAGGUGGGUGCAUCAACCCCAGUCCUCCUAAGGGCUCUAGAGCGCUCCCUCUCUCUCCCACUUCCAGUCUACCAGCUGGCUUCCUGGAAGAAGGUACCAGGUAAAACCACAAAAGGUUUGAGGGGCAAUGUGCACGCAGGAGAGAGGACAGCCAGGACUGCCCCUCCCUUGAAGAUGUCCGACUGUCCCACACCUGCCCGGAAGGGAACAGCUGAAGCUGAGGCUGGGGCAGUGGAGGCAAUGGGCAGUAAACCACGUUGCUACCCCAGCACCACAGGUUCAGUGCGAGCUCCAGGCUGGGUCAGGGCACACACAGCCAGUCCACAUAGGGCCUCGGUGUGAAUUAAAACAAGGUUUCCUUUGCUCAGAGGCUUGACCUACAUCUGCCAGAAAGUCAUAAUAAAUAAGACAGAAUUCUCCACAUGCAGUGCAGUGCACAUGGGCAAUACACAUCCCACGUAACCUUACCGGGUAGUCUUGGCUGGAGCCAAAUAUAAUAGACAGGUCUCCUGUCCUAAGGAAGAAUGACAGGGUCAUUCAAAGCCUCCAUCAGGACCCAUGGUGGAGCAGACUGAAGGGUGCACGAGGAAGAAGACACUGAGUGGAGGUAGAGAAAGGAAACAGAAGUGGAUGUAGGGGACGUGGGGAGAGGCAGGGGACGUGGCCCAGGUCACAAGCACACUGCACCUCCAAUCCAUCAGAGAAGGCGUGUGGCCACCCGCCCAGAGGAGUUCAUGUCUUCCAUGAUUUCAUACUUAUAAAAUGAAAAGCCACUAUGGGCUGAGGGGACAGGGAGAGAUGAGUGGCAGCUAUGGGUGCCAUGAGGGUUCCUCUAGUCUGUGCUCCCCAUGUGGUCCUGGCAUGGGACUACAAGGGACCCUAGCCUGCCUGAAAGUGUUCCCUGCUGGCUGGCCAGGGGUCCAGGAACCAGGCUGGACAUGCAGAGGUCCUCUGGCCAAGUCCCAGGUUCCUGGGGCCAGUCCACAGUCCCCUGUGAGGCUCCUGCCCACUUGCCCCAGGUUCUUGGGGUCAAGGAAAGAAGCAGCAUGGAGUAGAGUCCUUUGUUUGCUUCUGGAGCCGCAGGGCAGGCAGAAACAGUGCUGCUGGUGGAGGUGGCCGGGCACGCAGGGUGAGGGAAGCACCAUUGGCCGUCCGAAUCAGGCAUCGAGACAGACGGACGAGGGGAACAACAUUAUCACUCCAAGGACCCCAUGGGGGCAAUACAGCAAAUACCAUAUUAAAUAACCCUGCGGGCAGAACAGAGAGACAC